rnacentral:rRNA from 1 species
CACGUAGGGGGCGAGCGUUGUCCGGAUUUAUUGGGCGUAAAGAGCUCGUAGGCGGCUCAGUAAGUCGGGUGUGAAAUCUCCGUGCUCAACACGGAGCGGCCACCUGAUACUGCUGUGACUCGAGUCCGGUAGGGGAGUGUGGAAUUCCCGGUGUAGCGGUGAAAUGCGCAGAUAUCGGGAGGGACACCAGUAGCGAAGGCGGCACUCUGGGCCGUGACUGACGCUGAGGAGCGAAAGCGUGGGUAGCAAACAGG